UAAUGCCUUUCUUGCUUUAGGAGUUAACAUGCGGGGUGAAUUUGGAUCUGAUGGACCUUUUAGAAUAUCAAAUAAAGGUCCCAACUCUCCUGUUGGUAUACCUAGAUAAGGCCUUAUCCAAUUUAUGUCUCCCAAUAACUUUUGAAAGUCGUUAAGUGAUUUGAGUUGAUCUACUCGUAUUUGAAUUUUUGGUGGACGGACCAUGGUUGAGGAUAAUAGAACUCCUAAAUAAUUAAUUGGAAAAUUUAAUUGUACUUUAUCUAUUGCUAUCUCUAGAUUAUAAUUUUUUAAUAAGUUUGUAAGUGUGGCAUAACAUUCCAGCAAUAUGUUUUUAUCUUUAUGUGCCAAUAAUACAUCAUCCAUAUAGUGAAAUAUUUGUAGUUCAGGAUUUUGAUUUCUAAGUGGCUGGAUUGCUUUGUUAACAUAUAUUUGACACAUAGUUGGACUGUUAGCCAUCCCUUGAGGGAGUACUUUCCAUUCAUAUCUCUGAUCAGGACCUUCAUGAUUUAAUGCAGGGAUAGUAAAUGCAAAACGUGGACUAUCCUCGGGAUGAAUUGGAAUUGAAAAAAAACAAUCUUUAAUAUCUAUAGCUAAAACAUGCCAGGUUUUUGGCAAAGCAGACAAUUGAGGAAUCCCUGAUUGAGCAGGUCCCAUAAUAACCAUCUCAUUAUUAAUGGCUCUUAAAUCUUGCAAUAAUCUCCAUUUACCAGAUUUCUUUUUGAUGACAAAAAUGGGAGUAUUAUGGGGAGAUAUGGAAGGUUGUAUAUGUCCUUCCGCUAAUUGUUGUUUGACCAGAUCAUGGGCUACUUGUAUCUUUUCUUUAGUCAGGGGCCACUGAGGAACCCACACUGGUCUUUCUGAUUUCCAAGUAAUUUUGAUUGUCUCAGUGGCACUUUCUGAAAAUCCAACCCAUGUCUCUCUGUUCCUUGAUCUAUCUGUAUUGGUGCUGCUAUACCUUGUUCUUGUUCUCCUAAUCUUUUUUCUUUCCUAAAACCUUGUCUAGCCCUAGUAGUGGGAACAUUAGGAUUGAUGUUAUUUGUUAAUGUCAAACCUAAUUGAUCUAGGACAUCUCGUCCCCAUAAAUUUAUAGGAAGAUGAUCCAAUACAUAUGGCUGUAUAGUUCCUUCACAUCCUUCAGGAUCCUUCCAGUCUAAUAUCAUUGCACUUCUGUGGGGAUUAGUCGCCACUCCUAGGCCUCAAAGCAUUUGAGUGGCUUGUUGUAAUGGCCAAUGUUUUGGCCAUUCUCAACGAGAUAUGAUGCUAAGGUCAGCACCUGUGUCCAGUAUCCCAUUAAACUCAUGUCAUUGAAUAUUUUGUUUUAGCAUUGGGCGAGAAUCUAAAUUUAAAGACAGAAUAGCCCAAUCUACACCUGUGGAGCCUAAUCCCUUGGAACCUCUUUCUACACUAUGACUAGAAAAUUUAUUAUGUAGGCUGGGUAUUAUUAACAACUGUGCUAUUCUAUCUCCUGGUGAAAUUACUGAUAUACCUCUUGGAGAACUAGCUAUAAUUUUUAUUUCACCUACAUAAUCAGGAUCAAUUACCCCAGGAUAUAUCAUAAGUCCUUUUAGUGUAGAUGAACUACGUCCCAAUAAUAAGCCUACUGUUCCUUGGGGAAGAGGUCCUUUUACUCCUGUGGGAAUGAUUUGAACUCCCAUCACUGGAGUUAGUACUGCUCUGGCAGAGGCGCAGAUGUCCAACCCUGCGCUCCCUCGGGUUUGUCUGAUGAGGGAUUUAAUGGACAAUGUGUCCUGGGCACUACCCUGAUGGUGUUGCUGGGAUCCUCCACUGCCCCGUAUAUUUGUGGUUGUGGGCCCCGGAGCAUUGGGCCCCCCUGUCCGUUUUUUGGCAAUGGAGCCUGAUGCCUUUCUCCACGAUAUCUUGGAUAAAUACCUGGUCUUUGUCCGUUUUUUGAUAAGGGAGUACCCUCUAUGGUGGUUUGAGAACGGCAUUCAUUAGCCCAAUGUCUCCCUCUACAGCAUUGUGGGCAAAUACCCGGUAUUCUAUUCCUUUGAUACCUAGUUUUGUUAAACCCUCCUCCUAUGGGGCAAC
rnacentral:lncRNA from 1 species